rnacentral:rRNA from 1 species
UUUAGCAUGGAAUAAUGGAAUAGGACGGCUUUCUUAUUUUGUUGGUUUCUAAGAGAGCCGUAAUGAUUAAUAGGGAUAGUCGGGGGCAUCAGUAUUCAAUUGUCAGAGGUGAAAUUCUUGGAUUUAUUGAAGACUAACUACUGCGAAAGCAUUUGCCAAGGAUGUUUUCAUUAAUCAGUGAACGAAAGUUAGGGGAUCGAAGACGAUCAGAUACCGUCGUAGUCUUAACCAUAAACUAUGCCGACUAGGGAUCGGUGGAUGUUACUAUUUUGACUCCAUCGGCACCUUACGAGAAAUCAAAGUUUUUGGGUUCUGGGGGGAGUAUGGUCGCAAGGCUGAAACUUAAAGAAAUUGACGGAAGGGCACCACCAGGGGUGGAGCCUGCGGCUUAAUUUGACUCAACACGGGGAAACUCACCAGGUUCGGAUAUGAUAAGGAUUGACAGAUUGAGAGCUCUUUCUUGAUUUCAUAGUUGGUGGUGCAUGGCCGUUCUUAGUUGGUGGAGUGAUUUGUCUGCUUAAUUGCGAUAACGAACGAGACCUUAACCUGCUAAAUAGCCCGGCUGGCUUCGGCUGGUCGCUGGCUUCUUAGAGGGACUAUCGGCUCAAGCCGAUGGAAGUUUGAGGCAAUAACAGGUCUGUGAUGCCCUUAGAUAUCCUGGGCUGCACGCGCGCUACACUGACGGAGCCAACGAGUUUUCUCCCUUGACCGGAAGGUCUGGGUAAUCUUGUUAAACUCCGUCGUGCUGGGGAUAGAGCAUUGCAAUA